rnacentral:rRNA from 1 species
UACAGAGGUGGCAAGCGUUGUUCGGAAUUACUGGGCGUAAAGGGCGCGUAGGCGGUCUCGUAAGUCCUGUGUGAAAUCCCCCGGCUCAACUGGGGAACUGCACAGGAAACUGCGAGACUUGAGUUCGGGAGAGGGAAGCGGAAUUCCGGGUGUAGCGGUGAAAUGCGUAGAUAUCGUUCGGAACACCGAAAGCGAAGGCAGAGGACUGGGUGCCACCUGACGCUACUAGGACGAAAGCGUGGGGAGCGAAUGGG